UUUUUCCCUCUUCGUUCAUCUUACAUAUUAUUAUUAUUAUUAGUAUUAUUAUUAUUAUUCGCGCCUCUGGCUUCCCUGGUCUUGGCCUUCGAUCGACGAGGAAGAGAAGCUACUUCUUCUCGUUCUUUCAUCACGAUCGUACUUCGACGCGACAGCUCGAACCUAUUCGUUCCUCGAGGAACGAUACUACGCCUCGAUCUGAUCUUCCGGGGUCAUUAUGUCGGGCGCCAUCGACAAGUCCUCGGCCAUGUCUUCGUCCUGUCCUGAAUCGUGCCCGUGACUCUCGGGAUACUCCCUCUCCAGAAGACACGUCUGGAUAAACGAUGGUUGUUUUCUUAGAACAAUGUUCGAGGCCCCUUUGUGCCGGAAACUGGUGUCUACGCGCAUCCUUAGGCAAUCGCCGUAUAACCUGCGCGCCGUGUUUUAC
rnacentral:misc_RNA from 1 species